UACGUAGGGGGCAAGCGUUGUCCGGAAUCAUUGGGCGUAAAGAGCGUGUAGGCGGUUCAGUAAGUCUGCUGUGAAAGUCCAAGGCUCAACCUUGGGAUGCCGGUGGAUACUGCUGAGCUAGAGUACGGAAGAGGCGAGUGGAAUUCCCGGUGUAGCGGUGAAAUGCGCAGAUAUCGGGAGGAACACCUAUUGCGAAGGCAGCUCGCUGGGACGUCACUGACGCUGAGGAGCGAAAGUGUGGGGAGCGAACAGG
rnacentral:rRNA from 1 species